rnacentral:snRNA from 1 species
GGAUGUGAGGGCAAUCUGGCUGCAACAUCUCUCACACCAUUGAUCACCAGGGUUGAGUCAGCAGAUCUGGCUGGCUAGAAGGUGUCCCUUUCCUCCCUCACAGUUCCACAUGCAUUCCUCCUGAAGCUGCGCAGAGAACAGCCACCCUUGAUAGAGAAGAACAUUUCUUCAGUCAAGGGUAUAGGAGUAGCUGCGUUCCUCUGCUAGAACCUCCAAAUAAACUCUCAAAUUAAUGGAGGUAUUUAGAUCUUGGGAAGAGGUAAAGGCCUGUAGUUAGCCAAACCUAGAGUGCACCACU